rnacentral:rRNA from 1 species
CGGGGUGCAGCAGGCGCGAAAACUCUACAAUGCAGGCAACUGCGAUAGGGGAACAUCGAGUGAUCCUCAUAUUGGGGGUCUGUCCACCCGUCUAAAAAACGGGUGUUAGCAAGGGCCGGGCAAGACCGGUGCCAGCCGCCGCGGUAAUACCGGCGGCUCGAGUGGUGGCCGAUAUUAUUGAGUCUAAAGGGUCCGUAGCCGGCUUUGCAAGUCUCUCGGGAAAUCCAGCGGCUUAACCGUUGGUCGUCCGGGGGGUACUACAUUGCUUGGGACUGGGAGAGGUAGGAGGUACUCAGGGGGUAGGAGUGAAAUCCUGUAAUCCUUUGGGGACCACCGGUGGCGAAGGCGUCCUACCAGAACAGGUCCGACGGUGAGGGACGAAAGCUAGGGGCACGAACCGGAUUAGAUACCCGGGUAGUCCUAGCCGUAAACGAUGCUCGCUAGGUGUCACAACAGUCGUGAACUGUUGUGGUGCCGUAGGGAAGCCGUGAAGCGAGCCACUUGGGAAGUACGACCGCAAGGUUGAAACUUAAAGGAAUUGGCGGGGGAGCACAAGGGCGAUUCGCG